rnacentral:rRNA from 1 species
GUGCUUGCACCUGAUGGCGAGUGGCGGACGGGUGAGUAAUACAUCGGAACGUGCCCUGAAGUGGGGGAUAACGCAGCGAAAGCUACGCUAAUACCGCAUAUUCUGUGAGCAGGAAAGCAGGGGAUCGCAAGACCUUGCGCUUUGGGAGCGGCCGAUGUCGGAUUAGCUAGUUGGUGGGGUAAAGGCCUACCAAGGCGACGAUCCGUAGCGGGUCUGAGAGGAUGAUCCGCCACACUGGGACUGAGACACGGCCCAGGCUCCUACGGGAGGCAGCAGUGGGGAAUUUUGGACAAUGGGCGGAAGCCUGAUCCAGCCAUGCCGCGUGAGUGAAGAAGGCCUUCGGGUUGUAAAGCUCUUUCGGCGGGGAAGAAAUUGCUUGGGUUAAUACCCUGAGUAGAUGACGGUACCCCGAAUAAGAAGCACCGGCUAACUACGUGCCAGCAGCCGCGGUAAUACGUAGGGUGCGAGCGUUAAUCGGAAUUACUGGGCGUAAAGCGUGCGCAGGCGGUUUUGGAAGUCA